rnacentral:rRNA from 1 species
CCUACGGGUGGCAGCAGUGGGGAAUAUUGGACAAUGGGCGAAAGCCUGAUCCAGCCAUGCCGCGUGUGUGAAGGAGGCCUUCGGGUUGUAAAGCACUUUCAGUGGGGAAGAAAGCCUUGGGGCUAAUACCCUCGAGGAAGGACAUCACCCACAGAAGAAGCACCGGCUAACUCCGUGCCAGCAGCCGCGGUAAUACGGAGGGUGCGAGCGUUAAUCGGAAUUACUGGGCGUAAAGCGCGCGUAGGCGGUCUGAUAAGCCGGUUGUGAAAGCCCCGGGCUCAACCUGGGAACGGCAUCCGGAACUGUCAGGCUAGAGUGCAGGAGAGGAAGGUAGAAUUCCCGGUGUAGCGGUGAAAUGCGUAGAGAUCGGGAGGAAUACCAGUGGCGAAGGCGGCCUUCUGGACUGACACUGACGCUGAGGUGCGAAAGCGUGGGUAGCAAACAGGAUUAGAUACCCCAGUAGUC